rnacentral:rRNA from 1 species
UCUGGNUCAGCUGGGGGCGUGCGGUGGGUACGGGCUGGCUNGAGUGCGGUAGGGGAGACUGGAACUCCUGGUGUAGCGGUGGAAUGCGCAGAUAUCAGGAGGAACACCGGUGGCGAAGGCGGGUCUCUGGGCCGUUACUGACGCUGAGGAGCGAAAGCGUGGGGAGCGAACAGGAUUAGAUACCCUGGUAGUCCACGCUGUAAACGUUGGGCACUAGGUGUGGGGGGCCUUUUCCGGGUUUUCCGCGCCGUAGCUAACGCAUUAAGUGCCCCGCCUGGGGAGUACGGCCGCAAGGCUAAAACUCAAAGGAAUUGACGGGGGCCCGCACAAGCGGCGGAGCAUGCGGAUUAAUUCGAUGCAACGCGAAGAACCUUACCAAGGCUUGACAUGGGCUGGAUUGCUUCGGAGACGGGGUUUCCCUUUUUUGGGCUGGUUCACAGGUGGUGCAUGGUUGUCGUCAGCUCGUGUCGUGAAAUGUUGGGUUAAGUCCCGCAACGAGCGCAACCCUUGUCUCGUGUUGCCAGCACGUUGUGGUGGGGACUCGCGGGAGACUGCCGGGGUUAACUCGGAGGAAGGUGGGGAUGACGUCAAAUCAUCAUGCCCCUUAUGUCUUGGGCUUCACGCAUGCUACAAUGGCCGGUACAGUGGGUUGCGAUGCUGUGAGGCGGAGCGAAUCCCUGAAAGCCGGUCUCAGUUCGGAUCGGUGUCUGCAACUCGACACCGUGAAGUUGGAGUCGCUAGUAAUCGCAGAUCAGCAGCGCUGCGGUGAAUACGUUCUCGGGCCUUGUACACACCGCCCGUCACGUCAUGAAAGCUGGCAACA